GGAUAGAACAAAAGAGAGAUCUUUUUGUUGUUGUUGUUGUGGAUCCAUGUGAUAGCUCCAAUUGAAAGUUUUUUUUACCUUUUGGUGCGAUAGAUUAGUGUUUAGUGUGUGCAGAAGGUUUUGUAAGAACUGAAGAAACAACAAAUCCAAUGGAGUGUGUAGUUCAAGGAAUCAUCGAGACACAGCAUGUUGAAGCUCUUGAGAUCCUUCUUCAAGGUCUCUGUGGUGUUCAACGCGAACGCUUGAGAGUUCAUGAGCUAACUUUGAAAAGCGUCCCAAAUCUUGGAGUUGUAUCUUCAGAAGUUAGGCUUCUAUGUGACCUUGACCAACAACCAGAGCCCACAUGGACGGUUAAACAUGUUGGAGGUGCGAUGAGAGGUGCAGGAGCUGAUCAGAUCUCUGUUAUGGUGAGAACCAUGAUCGAAAGUAAAGUCAGCAAGAACGCCCUGCGUAUGUUCUACUCCCUCGGUUACAAACUAGACCACGAGCUUCUCAAAGUUGGCUUCGCUUUUCACUUCCAACGGACAGCGCACAUAAGCGUCUCUGUGUCUUCGGUGAACAAGAUGCCUAAGAUUCAUGCCAUAGAUGAGGCUGUCCCUGUAACUCCCGGGAUGCAGAUUGUUGUUGUAACGGCUCCAGCAACGCCUGAGAACUACAGUGAAGUUGCAGCUGCGGUUUCAUCCUUCUGUGAAUUUCUCGCCCCGCUUGUGCACUUGUCGAAACCCUUCAUCUCUACGGGAGUUGUGCCGACCGCUGCUGCGGCUGCUGCAUCACUUAUGUCGGAUGGAGGUGGUACUACAUUAUGAGAAUUGUGUUCUCUCAUGUUUUGGUUUAAUGUUUGUGUAUUUUGUUCACAUCAAUCACACAAUGUGGCUAGUGAGUGAUCCUGAGGUCUAGAGUUUGAACUUCUCUCACCCCAUUUCUACUAUUUUGGCCUUUUGUAUUUUGACAGAAGACACAUUGGAUCUUUGGAAAUUCACAUCUCUUUCUCAGUAGUGAAAGCUUGAGUAUGUACUCACUCAGUUGCAUUAACGGUGAUAGCUUUGUGAUUCCCAUCCCGAUCCAAGCAAAAGACUGUAUCACCAGACACCUUUUGGUGAUAUAGAUAGGGACAUCUAAGGUCCGGAUGGUUCCACUCUCUUCGUUACAUCUUUUGGUUUAUUGUAGUGUAAUUUGUUCACA